CUACAUUGUUUUCUUGAGGAUAGGGACAACUAUCUAUGGUAAUAGAUUAUUCCUCAAGCAGACAGACAUAUUUUCAAGGCUUUCUGAAAUCAUGAAGACUGAUUUCAAAUGUAAUUUUCAAGUACUGUGGAAAGAGACAGCCCUAAUUUCUUUACAAAGAAAAGACUGUCAGGUUUGGAAUGUUGGGGCAUCUCUGAGGUUUUGAGCACUAAACUGAGCAAUGGUGUGCAUGUUCCAAAGUACAUUUCUAAAAUAAAAGUCAUUCCCUUACACAUAAGCAGAGUUUUCAAACAUGAACUUUCAUUUAAAAAUCAACAUAGGAAUUUGAAAAAUAAAGUGAGAGUUUUUUAGAUACAGAAAGCCUUUUUGAAAACCACCACGGAGGUAAGCCCUUUGUCGCAUACAGGCGAUGGUGCAGAGCGCCAGCAAAACUUGGACAAGGGUCAUUUUACUACAAAUGUCUUCCCUUACUUUGUUCUUUUGGUCCCCUCUAGCAUAUUGCCUUUCUCUUUUCCUUGUUGUGUACCUCUUUUUUCUUUCCUUUCCUUCUCCAUUUUUCUUUCCAUUAUUUUUAUUUUUAUUCCUUUAUACUUGAUUCUCUUCACAACCAACCUAUUCUAUCCUCCAUAAAAAUGAACUGCAGUUCUGUUUUCAUUUAUAGUCCUAGUUUUUCUGCUAGUAAAGAUUAAUAUUCACAGUUACUUAAACUGUAACCUUAAAAAAAAUCAGGUUGCAUUUUUACAUAAAUUUGUCUGACCAGUGGUGGAUUUUUUUAAGGAACGUGAAUGGACCUCGAUUCGUUUUUUGUUUUGUUUUUUUUUUUUAAAGAAUGUACAAUACUCACUAAAUUAUCCCUUUUCUUGGACUUUUGAGUGGAACUGUUACUGAUGAAAGCUAGAAAUAUGUGGCUCCCAGUUACCAUUUUCCUUCUUCCCCUGACAUAAGGAGGAAGACAUGGAAAUGAAAGUACCCUGAGUUUCCUGACAUCUAAUAAAACAACGAGUGGUUAGGAUAUUGCUUUUGUGUAUUUUGAUCUUGGGAUUUCAGUUUAAUUGAUGAAAUAGAACAUGAAGAUUUGAGUUCUUCAGAUCUGUUUUUUUUGCAUUGUGGGAAGGGUUGAAGGGUUGUGUGUAUGCAUAGGCAUUGUGUCUAGCAAAUAGCAAGUAGUAAAUGCAUUAUUGUCAUUAUAUAAGUGUAUUUUACUAAUGUCGGUUAAGCAGAUAGAAAUUAGGAAAAAAAAUUUGCCUGAAAAUUUCAAACACCUCAGCCAUUUAAAUAAUAUUCACUUUUGGGGCGCCUGGGUGGCUCAGGCAAUUGAGCGUCUGACUUCAGCUUAGGUUAUGAUCUCACAGUUUGUGAGCUCGAGCCCCACAUUGGCUUGCUGCUGUCAAGCUUGUCAGCACAAGCCCACCUUGGAUUCUCCAUCCCCCUCUCUCUUUCCCUACACUGCUUGCGCUCUCCCCCAAAUAAAUAAAUAUUAAAAAAUAAUAUUCACUUUUAAAUAGUUUUAGAAUUUUUUUUCCUAAGAAUAAGGAAUCCAACGUAGUAACAUAGGGAAUUUUGAACAAAAUACCUAUGCUUUUCUUUACUUGGAAGAAAUCUCUGCAUUCUGUAGUGCAUUUAUUUGUUUCUCAAAACAAAUAAGAAAAUGAUAGUAUACUCAGUAGUUGUUUGAAGUUUUCUUUUGCAAGAAUCUUAGUAAAUACUUAAUAGAUGAAAAGCAGUUUCACACACUUAAGUUCCCUCCUCCCCUUUUCAGUUUUGGUGGAGUAUGGAUUGGAUGUCCCUACAUAUAUUCAGGACCUUUUUAAAAAUUUUUCUGCUGCUGUUGUUACUAUUACUCUCUGCUUUUAAGUGGCAUUAAAUUUGUGGAUUCUGUAUCUUGAGUUCUAUAGAUCAGGUACAUUAUAGAUUAAAUAAAUCUUGGUCAUAUUAUCUAGAUUUCAGAUAACCAACUUAACAUAAGUUCCUGUUGGGAACUGUCAGUAUGAAUAUAAGAAAUGUUGAUUAAGAUGCUUAUUUUACUUUAUGUAAGUUCCUGAGUCAUAAUAGCUUCAUAGAUGCUUCAUAGGAGGAAGAAAAGAUAGAAAAACAGGAAGUAUUUUAAUUCUUGGCUUGAAUAGAGAGAAUUGUACGUUUAUGUGGGAAUGUGUGCAUGUAUGUGGGUUUUGUAUAUACCUACAAUGUAUAUGUCAUUACAUAGUAAUCCAUAUUUUUUAUGUUUAUAAGAAUAGCUAGUGAUAUUCUGUUUGAAUAUUUUGAGUUAGUCAUAGUAAGUAACAUUACAUAAAUGAAGAUUUAUACUGAAAACACAUAGUUCACCUAGUUCCACCUGCAAAAGAAAGAAAAACUUCUGUUAGGAUAGAUAAUGGAAUCUCAAUUUAUAUGUGAGAUGCCUUAUUUUUUUUUAAUGUUUAUUUAUUUUGAGGGAGCGAGAGGGAGAGAGAGAACACGUAUGCAGGAGGAGCAGAGAGAGAGAAAGAGAAAGAGACACCCCAAGCAGCCUCCUCCACGCUGUCAGCACGGAGCCUCAUGUGGGGCUUGAACUUACAAACCCUGAGAUCAUGACCUGAGCCAAAACCAAGAUUUAGACACUUAACUGACUGAGCCACCCAGGUGCCUCAUUUUGAAAACAUGUGUGUGAGAUUCUUUAGGACUUGGUAUUUUUUAAAAUAUGGUUUCAUAACUUAAACCUGGAAAUUAGCUGAAUUUAUGUAAUCUAAUGUCUUCAUUUUAUGUAUUUGGAAACCCAGGUCCAGAAAUUUUAAAAGACUUAGCCUAAAUGACAUAGUUGGCAAAACAUUCUCCAUUUCUGAUGUCAGAGCCUUUAAGAUAUUUUUUACUGGUUUUUAGUCCUUCAGAGUUUGUAAGCAUUAUACAGCAGUGCUCUAAGUUUUGUUUUCUUAUCAUGGAAUAUUAUUUCAUCUAUUGUGUCCCUUGUUCUUUAUAAUCUGAGUAUUAAGAAUGCAAGGAGGCUACAUUUUUAGGUACCACAGUAAUGGUGUUAGCAGGUUCCCUCAUGAAAACAGCAGAUCCUUCUGCCUGAUGCAGGAAAUAUGCUAACCUGAUGCUAAGAAAUGGAAUGUUUGGCUCUGGCUUUUUUGCUUUUAUUUUCUAGUGUGAGUUUGACACUAUUUAGGUGUUUGACAAAAGCUAACUCUUGAACAUUAAGAGGUGGAAAUAGUUCCAUCUAAAUUAUCUCUGUUUCAAAAGAGAAGUGCCAUUACAGACCUCAGAAGAAUGGAAUUACCCAAGAAUAUAAGUGUUAUUUUUUAAUGUUCAGUACCUGCCACUGGAGCUUCAUGGAGCAUAGAUGCAGGGCAAGUACCCUUGAAAUCAUUGUUAUGAUGAAAACCAUUUUUAAGUGCCUUUUUUAAUAUGGUACUGUGUUUGCAUCCUAUAAAAAGUGAGCUGAAUAGACAGCGUCUCUGCCCUCUAGGAGUUUAUAAUCAAAAACAGAGAAUGUAGCUGACAUCUGUUAUUGUAUUAAUGUCCUACAAAUAAACAUUGAUCAAAUACAUAAAUAAAAGUUUUAUAUCACAGACAUGUAAAAACCUUUUUACUUGCCUGAUUAAAUAGGUAAAUAGGCAUCCUUACUCCCACACUGAAACUAUCCAUGGACAUUGUAAAAUGACUAUAGUGGAAUAAUCCUGACACCAAGACAGUCCUUUAUAUUGUUAUUUUUAAGGGUUUCCAAAGAGCGCUGGCAUUACCAUGAUGUUACUGAUAGCUUAUUUAAGCGGAUCUGGAUUCAGGCAUGUUUUUAGCUUUCUGGUUAAAUUUUCCUUCCUUUCUAGAAUUUUCUCAUUUCAAACUGUUGACUAGUGGUACUUGUGAUUGUAAACCAGCAGCCUGGAGUGUACUUUAAAAAUUUUAUCCAAGCCCCUGAUGUUAACAGAAAUGAUUUUUUAAAAAACUAGCAGCCUUUUUUUCCCCUCUUCAAAUUGCUAGAAACUGCAUGAAAACAAAUGUUGGAGCUUAGGGUUGAUGCUGUAACAAGAUGAGGUUAUAUAUCCAAAAGGCUUUGAGGGAAAUAUUGGUAAAAAGAUUUAAGUUCACAAUUUUGGAAUAAACAGAUCUGGUUGUAAGUUUAAGUAAAGCUAUACAAAACUAAAAUUAAACGUACAACUGUUGGCAGGGGGAGAUAGGUAUUAAGUUUGAUAAAAUGUUUUCUUUUUGCAUGCUUCAGUUUUAAUGCAGGGUAUUUUAGCAGUCACUUCAUUUUUAAAGUGUGAACAUUGGGAAGUCUAAAGGUAAACCUGUCUUAAAGUUCAAAAUGUUAAAAAAAUAGCCAUCCCUAGCCCAGUGUAGGUGUCUGUCUGUGUAAAUUAAAGCAUGUGGAUGCAUAAAUUAAUUGGAAGAACAGUUGCUGAUAUAAAUCAAACUUAUUUGGUAUACUGAUGAAAUGAGCAUUGUUUAUAAGAUUAUCUUGUUAUUUAAUCUCUUCUAUAUAAACCUGGCUGGUUAGCAUUAUGAAGUAAUAAUACAAUUAAUGUGAUGAUGGUAUACUUUUUCUUGGUACAGGCCUGAUCCUGCAGGCCUUUCUUGACUGGGAUUUGUGUAGAUAGAGGGCCAUAAGAACUGGAAAUUUUAAUUAGCAAGAAUGUUCCUCCCCUCCCCUCCAGUUAUGUGCUGUCCCUAGGAUAGUUUAUUCUUUUUGAACCACUCAUCUGCUGACCCUAGAAGGAAAAACUGCCUUCAGAUACUAUUUUCUCAAAACUGUGCAGAGUUCAUUAUGAGAGUUGCUUCCUAUCUUGUAGCUAUAUGCCACUGUGCCACUGGGUCUCAAAUAAAGGGAAAAUUUUACUUAUAAAUGAAGCCAUUAGGAAUUUCUUGAAUAAACAAAGGUUUUUUUUCUUUGAUGUGCAAAGGAAUUUUGCUUAUAACUCCUAGUCCUAGAAGUCCAUGUCAACACAUGCAAGGACCAUUCGCUAUCUUUCAUGUGCAAGGGAAAGCAUUCCUGUCAGCUAGGGAGCAGAAAACAGAAACACUUGAAAAAAAAUAAA